rnacentral:sRNA from 1 species
GCACCUUUGUGUCCUGGCUUUUUCAUUUUUUAAAAUUAGUUUUCACGAUUCCAAAGUAAGUGGUAUAAAAACAAUUAGGAUGAAUUCACCCAUGCCUGACUGCACAUCGAAGUGUCGAUCCCUGAAGCAUGCUUUGGAUGUCCUUUCUGUGGUAACAAAGGGGAGCGAAAACCAGAUUAAGGCCUUUCUCUCCAGUCAUUGUUACAAUGCUGCAACUAUCAAGGAUGUUUUUGGCAGGAAUGCCCUCCACCUUGUUUCCUCCUGUGGAAAGAAAGGAGUGUUAGAAUGGCUUAUUCAGAAAGGAGUGGAUCUGUUGGUGAAAGACAAAGAGUCUGGAUGGACAGCAUUGCACAGAAGCAUUUUUUAUGGACAUAUUGAUUGUGUUUGGUCUCUAUUGAAGCAUGGUGUUAGUCUGUAUAUUCAAGAUAAAGAAGGCUUAUCCUACAGAUGUUUAUACUUGGGGCGAUAAUACAAAUUUUACCCUGGGUCAUGGAAGCCAGAAUAGCAAACAUCAUCCAGAGUUGGUGGAUCUGUUCUCUAGGAGUGGGAUUUAUAUCAAGCAGGUGGUGCUUUGUAAAUUUCACUCCGUGUUUCUGUCUCAGAAAGGGCAGGUUUAUACCUGUGGUCAUGGUCCUGGAGGGCGAUUAGGACAUGGAGAUGAACAGACAUGCUUGGUCCCUCGGCUUGUGGAAGGACUGAAUGGUCAUAAUUGUUCCCAAGUGGCAGCUGCUAAGGAUCAUACUGUUGUAUUAACUGAAGAUGGAUGUGUUUAUACAUUUGGUCUAAACAUUUUUCAUCAAUUAGGAAUUAUUCCACCACCUUCCAGUUGUAAUGUACCCAGACAGAUACAGGCAAAAUAUCUGAAAGGAAGGACAAUCAUUGGCGUUGCAGCAGGCAGGUUUCAUACAGUCCUAUGGACUAGAGAAGCUGUUUACACUAUGGGACUAAAUGGUGGACAACUGGGUUGUUUGCUAGAUCCCAAUGGAGAAAAGUGUGUAACUGCUCCUCGUCAGGUCUCUGCCCUUCACCAUAAAGACAUUGCUCUGUCUUUGGUUGCUGCAAGUGAUGGAGCUACAGUCUGUGUUACCACAAGGGGAGAUAUUUACUUACUUGCAGACUAUCAGUGCAAGAAGAUGGCUUCUAAACAAUUGAACUUGAAAAAAGUUCUUGUGUCUGGGGGUCAUAUGGAAUACAAAGUUGAUCCUGAACAUUUGAAAGAAAAUGGGGGUCAAAAAAUUUGUAUUCUUGCAAUGGAUGGAGCUGGAAGGGUGUUUUGCUGGAGAUCAGUCAACAGUUCUCUGAAGCAGUGUCGAUGGGCCUAUCCACGUCAGGUCUUCAUUUCUGAUAUUGCUUUAAAUAGAAAUGAAAUUCUAUUUGUUACGCAAGAUGGAGAAGGAUUUAGAGGGAGAUGGUUUGAAGAAAAAAGAAAGAGUUCUGAAAAGAAAGAGAUUUUAUCAAACCUUCACAAUUCCUCAUCAGAUGUGUCUUAUGUCUCUGAUAUAAAUAGUGUGUAUGAAAGAAUUCGACUUGAGAAACUUACCUUUGCACAUAGAGCUGUUAGUGUCAGCACAGAUCCAAGUGGAUGCAACUUUGCAAUCCUGCAGUCAGAUCCUAAAACAAGGUUAGAUGGAGUCAGAUUUGAAAAUGAAAAAAUUAAUGUUAUUUCCAAGAACACUGGUAAUAAACUGAAGCUAAGUCAGAAAAAAUGUUCAUUUCUGUGUGACGUGACCAUGAAAUCAGUGGAUGGAAAGGAAUUUCCUUGUCAUAAAUGUGUUCUUUGUGCUAGACUUGAAUAUUUUCACAGUAUGCUGAGUAGCUCAUGGAUUGAGGCUUCCAGUUGUGCAGCUCUGGAAAUGCCAAUACAUUCUGAUAUAUUAAAAGUUAUUUUGGACUACCUCUAUACUGAUGAAGCUGUGGUGAUAAAAGAAUCUCAAAAUGUAGAUUUUAUUUGUAGUGUUCUUGUGGUGGCUGAUCAACUUCUCAUAACCCGGUUGAAAGAGAUUUGUGAAGUAGCAUUAACUGAAAAACUUACCCUGAAGAAUGCUGCUAUGCUACUGGAAUUUGCAGCAAUGUAUAGUGCAAAACAGUUGAAACUGUCUUGUUUACAGUUUAUAGGAUUGAAUAUGGCAGCUUUACUUGAAGCAAGGUCUCUUGAUGUUUUAAGUGAUGGUGUUUUGAAGGAUCUUUCUGAGUUUUACCGGAAAAUGAUUCCAGCAAUGGAUAGAAGAGUCAUUACACCAUAUCAAGAUGGACCAGAUAUUAGCUAUUUGGAAGUAGAAGAUGGAGAUAUCUUCUUGAAAGAAGAAAUAAAUAUGGAACAAAAUCAUUCGGAAACUAUGUUCAAGAAGGCAAAAACAAAAGCUAAAAAGAAGCCACGUAAACGUUCAGAUAGUUCUGGAGGUUAUAACCUUUCAGAUAUUAUUCAGAGUCCAUCAUCUACAGGAUUAUUAAAGUCUGGUAAGACCAAUUCUGUGGAAUCUCUUCCAGAACUGUUGACAUCAGACUCUGAAGGAAGCUAUGCAGGAGUGGGUAGUCCUAGAGAUUUACAGUCCCCUGAUUUCACAACAGGAUUUCAUUCAGAUAAGAUUGAGGCGAAAGUCAAACCAUAUGUUAAUGGUACCUCUCCAGUGUAUUCUAGGGAAGAUUUAAAACCAUGGGAAAAGUCACCAAUACUUAAAAUAUCUGCUCCACAGCCCAUUCCCAGUAACAGAAUUGAUACUACCAGCUCUGCCAGUUGGGUUGCUGGUUCUUUCAGUCCUGUCAGCCCUCCUGUUGUGGAUCUCAGAACCAUCAUGGAAAUAGAAGAAAGUAGACAAAAAUGUGGAGCUACACCAAAGUCACAUUUAGGGUUGGUUGAAAACAUUAUAAAUGAUCAUUUCAUGUUGUAUUUCUGCCUUAAGAAUUGGACAGACUUACUCCAUCUUUCCUAUUAUUUUUCUGCAUUUCAUGUUAUAGUUAAUUAUACAUCCUUUUCUGGGCAAUUUAGCCUCCAUAAUAUUAUUUCUUAAAUAUGUGCUAAAGAUAGAGUUGAGUUGAUAAUCCAGCUCUUGUAGAAUACAGUAUUACAUCCCAGAAACUUGACUCUAAAAUGAUCAUUGUGGACUAUUGGCUACAAAAGCCAAAGAGUUAAGGCUUGUGAUGCAAGUUCUUCUUGAAAUUUAUGGUAUGUUGGAGGGCUCAUAUGUAGCUAUUACUUGAUCAUUGUUAGUAUAAACUGAUAUUUUCAUUGUUGAAACUUGUGAGCAUUUUGAUCCAAUAAUGGUAAAAUAACAUCAAAUAAAUAGAAAACAUUAUUAUUACCAGUAACCUUUAUUAAGCAGAAAUUAAUGUUAAUUGAUAUAAUUUCUAGCAAAAUGAUUUCUCAUGGAAUUAAACUUUGUCAGAAGAAACCACUGAAACUAAUUGGUUUAAUUUCUAGCAAAACAGUUUCUCAUGGAGUUAAACUUUCUCAGAAGCAACGAAAAAUGCUUGCAUUGACUACCAAGGAAAACAAUUCAGGAAUGAAUAGUAUGGAAACAGUUUUAUCCACUCCUUCAAAAGCCCCCAAACCAGUGAAUGCAUGGGCAUCUUCUCUGCAUUCAGUUUCAUCCAAGUUAUUCCGGGAUUUCUUACUAGAAGAAAAAAAGUCUGUUACUAGCCAUAGUUCAGGCGAUCAUGUCAAAAAAGUUUCUUUUAAAGGAAUUGAAAAUUCUCAGGCACCAAAAAUUGUCAGAUGCUCUACCCAUGGUACCCCAGGACCAGAAGGCAACCAUAUUUCAGAUUUACCACUUCUAGACAGUCCCAAUCCCUGGCUAUCUUCUUCAGUGACUGCUCCAUCCAUGGUAGCCCCAGUCACUUUUGCAUCUAUUGUAGAAGAAGAACUACAACAAGAAGCAGCUCUUAUUAGAAGUCGAGAAAAACCAUUGGCUCUGAUUCAGAUUGAGGAGCAUGCCAUACAAGAUUUAUUGGUUUUCUAUGAGGCAUUUGGCAACCCUGAAGAGUUUGUCAUUGUUGAAAGGACACCGCAGGGACCACUGGCAGUACCUAUGUGGAAUAAGCAUGGAUGCUAGUUCACUGUGGAGUUGAGAUGCAUUUUUCAUAAUUAUGAGUUUGUUCAUAUAAAGAAAAGCUGUGGAAAAGAGUCUUAGAGAUUUUGUAAUAUCAUCCUAAAUAGAUUAAGAAAAGAUAUAAUUUCUUUACUGCAGUUAAAUCAUAUAAUGUUUGUAUGAUUAAAAAUAAAUUUCUCAGAAUUGUGAUUUUAGUAACUUUAUAUAAAAUGUGUGAGACAAAAACUUAUUAAGGUUAAAUAGAAUUUUUUCUUCUGAAUAAUCUAACAAAGGAAAAUAUAAGUGAUUGAAUCAUAAGAUAUAAAGGGGGGUGAAGUAUUAAAAAUAACUUUUUUGUUUGAUAACUUGAGAAUUUAGAAGAUUUUGCCAAGUGUGUAUUGUUGCUUGACUUCUUAAAUAUGGCAUUGAUGAAUUUAAAGUAGGAGUAUCAGUUAUUACUUCUGAUUCAUUAAUGGCCAGAAUUUUGUGUUUGGUCUGAUAGUUGUGUCACCAUUCUUGUUGUUUUUUAAAAAUCGGGCUAGGCAUGUGGUCCAUGUCUAUUCAAAGCUUGACCUGCACAAAUGCCAUAUUUCUAUUUGGACCUCAUAUUCUCCAUUUUGCAUUAAGCAGUAGAGUACAGUGGAAAGGGAAUAAGAAUACUGAUUAUUCUGAACAGUUUAGUCCCAAGAGAAUAGCUUUUUUUAAAAAAAAAAAAAAAAAAACAAGAUUUGGAGUCAUUGUAGGUUAUUUUUGGUGGGAUGGAGGAUCUUAAAAAUGCCUAAUUGUGAGAUAAUCAAUUUCUGAAAGUGUUAAAAUUUCUGAAAAUAAAUGCUUAAUUACAUAUACAGAAAUUAAAUAGUUUGGAAGAGGGUUGGAUUAUCAUUACCUUUACAAUACUGUAUAAUCAGAAGUUCUCUGAAUCUCAGUUGUACAUCUAGACAUAAAAAUUGUUUUCUUUAUAGGAUGUUGUUUGGUUUGUUUCUGAGUGUUUAAAUUUUUCAAAAACAAAUGUUAAAUUUGUGCUUCAGUACCUAGAUAAAUUGGAAAGGUUAAUGUUCUAGUUUCUGGAAGAUAAGCCUGGGAGGCACAUAAGCAAUUCACUGCUAUAAUUUAGUUGAUGUAAAAUGAUGGAAACUGACUCAAUAUUUCAGGUUUAGUUCUGCCCAAAAGCAGCAGACAUGUAAGCAGAUGUGCAAUAAAAAAUGAUCUUGAACCAUUUCACUAAUGUGUGCUUGACAUUUUUUACUAUAUUGACAUUUAUUAUGGAAAGAGUUAAUAAUUAUUUUUUCUGAUGUGCUACACUAAUGGCCAGUAUAUGGUUAAGUUGAUGCUGUAUUUAUUCCAAGAUGGAUUUAAAAAGGCAGUUUUCUAAAUAUGAACUUGUGAAUUUUUGUAUGUGUGUUUGAGUAAAUUGAGAAAUGAAUUUUAUGAAUGUUUUAUUGAUGUUGCAGUAAAGAAGCCUUUUGAAGUAAU